CCUACGGGCGGCAGCAGUGGGGAAUAUUGCGCAAUGGGCGAAAGCCUGACGCAGCGACGCCGCGUGAGGGAUGAAGGUCUUCGGAUCGUAAACCUCUGUCAGCAGGGAAGAACGGUCACUGUGCUAAUCAGCAGUGAAUUGACGGUACCUGCAAAGGAAGCACCGGCUAACUCCGUGCCAGCAGCCGCGGUAAUACGGAGGGUGCGAGCGUUAAUCGGAAUUACUGGGCGUAAAGCGCUCGUAGGCGGUAUGUCAAGUCAAGGGUGAAAUCCCCGGGCUCAACGUGGGAACUGCCUUUGAAACUGGCAAACUGGAGUGUGUGAGAGGAUAGUGGAAUUCGAGGUGUAGGAGUGAAAUGCGUAGAUAUCUGGAGGAACAUCAGUGGCGAAGGCGACUAUCUGGCACAUAACUGACGCUGAGGAGCGAAAGCGUGGGUAGCAAACAGGAUUAGAUACCCGGGUAGUC
rnacentral:rRNA from 1 species